rnacentral:rRNA from 1 species
UACGUAGGGACCAAGCGUUGUUCGGAUUUACUGGGCGUAAAGGGCGCGUAGGCGGCAUGGCAAGUGGAAGGUGAAAUCCCUCGGCUUAACCGAGGAACUGCCCUCCAAACUGCUUUGCUUGAGGCCGGGAGAGGUGAGUGGAAUUCCCAGUGUAGCGGUGAAAUGCGUAGAUAUUGGGAGGAACACCAGUGGCGAAGGCGGCUCACUGGACCGGUUCUGACGCUGAGGCGCGAAAGCGUGGGGAGCAAACGGG